CAGCCGUAAACUAUGCUCGCUAGGUGUCAGGCAUAGCGCGACCGUGUCUGGUGCCGCAGGGAAGCCGUGAAGCGAGCCACCUGGGAAGUACGGCCGCAAGGCUGAAACUUAAAGGAAUUGGCGGGGGAGCACAACAACGGGUGGAGCCUGCGGUUUAAUUGGACUCAACGCCGGACAACUCACCGGGAACGACAGCAAUAUGUAGGCCAGGCUGAAGACCUUGCCUGAAUCGCUGAGAGGAGGUGCAUGGCGUAGACGUCU
rnacentral:rRNA from 1 species